GUGAGAUCUGGGUUACAGGGGUGAGAUCUGGGGCGCUGGGGUGAGAUCUGGGGUGCUGGGGUGAGGUCUGGGUUACAGGGGUGAGAUCUGGGGUGCUGGGGUGAGAUCUGGGUUACAGGGGUGGGAUCUGGGGUGCUGGGGUGAGAUCUGGGUUACAGGAGUGGGAUCUGGGGUGCUGGGGUGAGAUCUGGGUUACAGGGGUGGGAUCUGGAGUGUUGGGGUGAGAUCUGGGUUACAGGGGUGAGAUCUGG
ensembl:lncRNA